GCCUACGGGGCGCAGCAGUGGGGAAUAUUGGGCAAUGGGAGCAAGCCUGACCCAGCAACGCCGCGUGAAGGAAGAAGGCUUUCGGGUUGUAAACUUCUUUUCUCAGGGACGAAGCAAGUGACGGUACCUGAGGAAUAAGCCACGGCUAACUACGUGCCAGCAGCCGCGGUAAUACGUAGGGGGCAAGCGUUAUCCGGAAUUAUUGGGCGUAAAGAGUACGUAGGCGGUUCUUUAAGCGCAGGGUUUAAGGCGAUAGCUUAACU
rnacentral:rRNA from 1 species